UGUCCAGUAGCACCUUAGAGACCAACUAAGUUUGUUCUUGGUAUAAGCUUUCGUGUGCAUGCACACUUCUUCAGAAAACUUAUACCAAUAUGCACACGAAAGCUUAUACCAAGAACAAACUUAGUUGGUCUCUAAGGUGCUACUGGACA